UACGGAGGGGGCUAGCGUUGUUCGGAAUUACUGGGCGUAAAGCGCACGUAGGCGGAUUGGUAAGUCGGGGGUGAAAUCCCGGGGCUCAACCCCGGAACUGCCUCCGAAACUUCCAGUCUGGAGUCCGGGAGAGGCGAGUGGAAUUCCGAGUGUAGAGGUGAAAUUCGUAGAUAUUAGGAAGAACACCGGUGGCGAAGGCGGCCCACUGGAUCGGUACUGACGCUGAGGCGCGAAAGCGUGGGUAGCAAACGGG
rnacentral:rRNA from 1 species